rnacentral:rRNA from 1 species
AUUGAACGCUGGCGGCAUGCUUUACACAUGCAAGUCGAACGGCAGCGGGGACUUCGGUCCGCCGGCGAGUGGCGAACGGGUGAGUAAUGCAUCGGAACGUGCCUAUCAGUGGGGGAUAACGCUUCGAAAGGAGUGCUAAUACCGCAUAUUCUCCGAGGAGGAAAGCAGGGGACCUUCGGGCCUUGCGCUGAUAGAGCGGCCGAUGUCGGAUUAGCUAGUUGGUGAGGUAAAGGCUCACCAAGGCGACGAUCCGUAGCGGGUCUGAGAGGAUGAGCCGCCAAACUGGGACUGAGACACGGCCCAGACUCCUACGGGAGGCAGCAGUGGGGAAUUUUGGACAAUGGGCGAAAGCCUGAUCCAGCCAUGCCGCGUGAGUGAAGAAGGCCUUCGGGUUGUAAAGCUCUUUUGUCCGGGAGGAAAUCCUGGCCUCUAAUACAGGUCGGGGAUGACAGUACUGGAAGAAUAAGCACCGGCUAACUACGUGCCAGCCGCCGCCGUAAUAC